ACGAACGCUGGCGGCAGGCUUAACCCAUGCAAGUCGAGCGCCCCGCAAGGGGAGCGGCAGACGGGUGAGUAACGCGUGGGAACGUACCUUUUGGUUCGGAACAACUCCGGGAAACUGGAGCUAAUACCGGAUAAGCCCUAACGGGGAAAGAUUUAUCGCCGAAAGAUCGGCCCGCGUCUGAUUAGCUAGUUGGUGAGGUAACGGCUCACCAAGGCGACGAUCAGUAGCUGGUCUGAGAGGAUGAUCAGCCACACUGGGACUGAGACACGGCCCAGACUCCUACGGGAGGCAGCAGUGGGGAAUAUUGGACAAUGGGCGCAAGCCUGAUCCAGCCAUGCCGCGUGAGUGAUGAAGGCCUUAGGGUUGUAAAGCUCUUUUGUCCGGGAAGAUAAUGACUGUACCGGAAGAAUAAGCCCCGGCUAACUUCGUG
rnacentral:rRNA from 1 species